rnacentral:misc_RNA from 1 species
AAAGUCGUAACAAGGUUUCCGUAGGUGAACCUGCGGAAGGAUCAUUAUCGAAUUUUGAAGUCCGUCUUGAGCUGGCAUUGCAGGUGCUCGGUCGGGUCUUUCAUCCAUUCUACCCCUGUGCACUUUGAAACGUCGGUCUGGGUUGAGGUGCUCGCUGUAUGCGUGUGCUUCGCUUAGCCUCGUUUUAUUACAAACACCUUUUAUUGUCUUGUAGAAUGUAUUGCUCAGUUAUGAGCUAAAAGUUAAUACAACUUUCAACAACGGAUCUCUUGGCUCUC